ensembl:lncRNA
UAGCUACCACCCCAUAGGGUUCAUGUUCCCACGCCCCUCUCCCUGUUCCCAUGGCAACGCUUUUAGGUGUUUUCCAAUGUUAAAAAAAGUUGCCACUAGGGCGCCAAAUUCCCUCCCUUCUGCUUCAUAGUUACCGUACCAAAAUGAACCAACGAAGACGGAGGACUACUCUAAGAAAAUGUCUUUUGCUCCCCUUUUCGGUUCGAACCCUCUUCCUCCGAGCUCACCCUUCGCCCCUCUGAUGCCGCUGACGCAGUGGCAAGCAAACGCCAGGCCUCUACCACUGGGUCUCAGGUGAAGAGGGGUGAUGUGGUUCGAGCCGAGGCGAGGGCCAGAGCCCUGCAGAAGGGUGGCAUGUCGGGCGAGUUUGUGCUGGCGGAGAGCGAGGUGCAGUUUGGCCUGUACCGCGGCCAAACUUUCCAGUGGCUGCUGGGAAAUGCGGUGGGGGUGCGCCGUCACCAUCUUGGUGUCCCACCAGAUGGAGAGAGGAGGAGACACCAGCAAGUCGCCCCUCAUGGAGAACAAGGACGCCCUCGCCUCCUACGCCGGGCUGUUCCCACCCAUGGUGACGGCCGUCGCCAGGCGUAGGUUGUGCGAGGGCUCCGCGUCUUCCAGGGGGCUGGACGACGCGCUGGUGGGGUUCGGGGUGCAUUCACACCGGACCUACAAGUCCCUGUAUGGCGCGCGGGACCAAGAGAGUCGAACCUAUGUGGCUUGGGUCAGGACGCAGAAGGUGGGAGCUACUGCGUCAAGGAUGGGAACCCUGAAGCAGUAUGUGCUGGCCCGGGACGCUGAGCCCACAGCAGCACCGGAGCCAGGACAUGUCCUCCCACGGCCAGGCGUCUCCUACUCUGACCCGACCGACGCCGAACUGCUCGCCGCUGCCAACGAGGUCGACCCUCCCAGCACGUCCAGGGACGCCCCGCCGGCCGCGGCCCCGCUGGAAGGACCAGCACCAGGUCCAGGACCAGGACCGAUGGCCACGAGGCCUGCCUCCGGCAAAGAGCUGCUUCCCCUCAGCUGGAGGAAGACGCUGCCUGAGGAGCAGCAGGAGUGGGUGGGCCGGGCGCUGUUCCGCAGGGACCCCAGCAGCGGGAAGGCUGUGCUCACCACACCGCCCCGACUGUGGUGGUACCCGCCAGGCGCCCGGCUCCUCUACACUCAGCCCCCCCGCCACUGCCCACGCCUUCUUCCAGCGCCCCUUCUUCCUCUGGCUUCCGUAUCGGAUGUGGGCGUACCACCUCAAGUGCCCCGCCGAUGGGGGUAAGCUGAUGGGCGCUGGCCUAUACAAGACCGUGCGGAGGGUCUUGGACAGGAGUGGGUGGUAUUACAUGGCCACAGAGUGCCUUCAGUGCCCCUCCUGCGGCAAGAAGGUGGCGGGCUGGUCCCAGGACAUCCUGGAGCAGCUGGACGUUGCUCACCGCGAGGAAUUCCCGGCCGUUCUGACCUACAAGUUGUCCUGCGACAGAGCGGUGAUAGCCAUGCUCAAGGAGCGCACCUUUGGCAACGGCGUGUCUCGCCUCCGUGCCUCCCUGGUGGAGCAGCACUCCAGGGACUGGAUGCAGCGCUCCAUCGCCUACCUGUCGGUGCUCCGCAAGCUGAGGGGACCCGGAAUGGCCCAGAAGGACGACGUGUCCCUGCCGACCUUCGUCAAGGUGCCCGGGCUCACCUGGUUUGGUCGGGUGUACGUGCUGGAGGCCGUGACCAGGCUGGACGAGACCAAGGCCAGGGUGACGUCGAUCUUGGGCGACAUCCUAAAGAUGGACUCCACCAAGAAGGUGAGGUUUCUCUCUCCGUGUGCCGUCGCCUCGUAUGACGUCUGUGUGCCGUCCGUCCGUCCGUGGAGGACCGCGAGCGGCGCUGCGGUGCUACAGCGCCCGGCUGCAGCACAGCUUCAACGAGCUGGCCUCUGAGGUCAACGGGGUCCAGCCGGUCGACGACUUCACCCAGCCCAGAGAGUACACAGGGGAACUCUUAGGGGUGGAGUACUUGUACUCCCAGUCGGGCGCUGUGCUGCAGCCGGAUCCCGAACCUCUGGAUGGGGCAGAGGAGGAGGAAGAGGCCGCCGCCGAUGACGGCUUCGAGGAGGAGGAGGAGCACCCGGAGGAGGAGCCAGAGGAGAUCCGUCUCCUGGCACACCACAGCGCCCUGCUCCAGGAGCCCUGCGGUGUGCUCCAGGUCGAUGCCACCUUGGGAUCGCCCCAUUCCGAGGUGGAGGAGGAGAUGGAGGAGGAGGAGGAGGAGGAGGAAGACGUCGUCGGGCCGGACGGUCAGCCCGGGUACCACCACGCGGUGGCCCUGGCCCACGGCCUCGUGGAGCUGCGUCACCACGCCUUCGUCACCGCCCGUCAGACCAGAGGCAUCAUCGCUCUCUGGGAGAGGCUGACGGAGCGGGACAAGGCGCCGGUGACCUUCACCCCCCGCCACCAGGACCGGCUGGCUAAAGGGCGGUUCAAGACCAGCAACCGCCACGCCCACAUCCCGGGAGUGGACAGUGUGAAGCGUGUCGUCGUGGGUAAGGGUGCGGGAGCGGCACAGUACCCAAGCCUCAGCAGGGUCGUCGAGGCCAUCAUGUUGGAGCUGUGCCGCGUCCACAGCGGCGACGCCAAGACCAUCGCCGGGGCACGCCUCAACCGCUGGGGUGCCGUCAUGAGGGAUUACAAAUUGAUCCAGGACAACGUGGUCAACUGUCCUGCCCUCAUGGCGAGCACCCGCAUCAUGCUGUUUGACGUGAACCAGCGGACCCUGUCCAUGUGGCAAAACACCAGGGAAAAAAAUAAGAUGAGGGACACCCUCUCCCUCGCAGUCCCGGGGCCCAGCGCUCCCCAGACUGCAGCGGAGCCCCCUGUCGGCCCCACGGACUCUGCUGCAGCAGCCCCAGCAGCCAGACCAGCCCCUCCAGCACCGCCUGCCCGCGGAUGCCUCUGGUCUGGCUGCAACGAUCAGAGGGCCGCUGGCCCCGGAGCUCUACGACCUCGUGGUGAAGCAGCAGAGUGCCGCCACCGCCACCGCCACCACCACCGCCACCGCCCCCCCCCCCGGACCUCAGCCCGCUCUCAGCCGCGGCCACCGCUCCAGCCAUUGCCGUCGCCAUUGCUGGAGCCAUGCCCCGCACCACUGUCUGGAGGCACAGGGUCCUGGAGGAGAAGGAGCGUCGUGCCCGGGAGCUAGGGGUCUACCUCAAGCCCCUUAAAAGGUCUCGGGCUUUACCUGCAGCCGCUGUGGCCAGCACAAGACCAGG